UUAUUCUCGGUUUGAGAAGUACGGUAUAGUAUGGUUUAAUACGUGUUAUUUAGAAGAGAGAUUAUGGUAAUGGUUUAGCGCGUAUAAUGCACGGGUUUUGUGUGCAUGUUUUAGCGCGAAAGCGCACGAGUUUUUCGUUUUGGGGUAUAUAUGAUUUGCACAUCUAGUGAGACGCCAUUCGAGGGUUGUUUUUGACAGGCAAAGUUAUGGAGCAAGAAAACGAAAGGGUGAUAAAGUAGUUUAGGCGUUCAUUUGCGAAAUACAUAGUAUUCGGAAGGAGAUUUUCGAUGAGAGGACUGAUUCUCUGCUAGAAGCGGAAUGGUGAGCUGGAACUUCGAACAAAGAAGCUGGACAGUUCGAAGAAUAAAUAAUGAAUAGUGUAACAUUAUAGUAAGAGGGCAGCUCGAAAGUGCAGUAACUGGACAGUACGAAUGGUAUAUUAAGUAUUGGAGAACAUAAAGGUAUGGUUUAUGUAGUAUGUUAUUAUUAUUAUAAGGAUUAUGAUUAUGAUAUUUUUUUUUCCGUUUUAAUGUUUAUCAUUAAUUUUGUAAAUAUUGUUUUAUUAUAUCUGUUUAAUUCUCUUGUGCAUUAUUCCAUUGGUCAUUUGACCGUUUGUGAAGGCCAGAGUGUGCCUGAUGUUGAUUAGCCGUUUGGCUUGUGUGGUCAUUUGACCGUUUGUGAAGGCCAGAGUGUGCCUGAUGUUGAUUAGCCGUUUGGCUUGUGUGGUCAUUUGACCGUUUGUGAAGGCCAGAGUGUGCCUGAUGUUGAUAAGCCAGUUGGCUUGUGUGGUUAGUUGACCGUUGUUGAAGGCCAUAGUGUGCCUAUUUUGAUUGAAUUAAUUUUAUUGCUUUUACAAAUGUUUGUAAUUGUAUCUUUUCAGUUAAAACACAGUUCGAGAGGUAUAUAACGUGGUGGAGAAUAUUUAGGUAUUCAUUUUAUGUUUUAUAUUAUUUGUAUUCUCUCUUUGUUUUAUUCGAAAGUCCUGUCAAAUACAAGCACUCACUCCUAUUGUCUUUGGUUUAUUAUUUGUUUGAUAAUGAUAAUGAUGAUGAUAUGGGUUAUAAAGAUGAUGAGAUUUUAAUAGUAUUUUGAGAAUAGAGAAUAAUAAAUUUACUCAUAACUAUGUGUAAAUGAAAUUAUUCUCGGUUUGAGAAAUACGGUAUAGUAUGGUUUAAUACGUGUUAUUUAGAAGAGAGAUUAUGGUAAUGGUUUAGCGCGUAUAAUGCACGGGUUUUGUGUGCAUGUUUUAGCGCGAAAGCGCACGAGUUUUUCGUUUUGGGGUAUAUAUGAUUUGCACAUCUAGUGAGACGCCAUUCGAGGGUUGUUUUUGACAGGCAAAGUUAUGGAGCAAGAAAACGAAAG